rnacentral:rRNA from 1 species
UACGAGUGCCCCGAGCGUUAUCCGGAUUUAUUGGGCGUAAAGGGUCCGUAGGCGUUCUGUUAAGUUUUCUGUUAAAUCUCUUGAGCUCAACUUAAGAGCUGCAGAAAAAACUGGCGGAAUAGAGGACGUUAGAGGCUGAUAGAACACUUGGUGGAGGGGUGAAAUCCGUUGAUAUCAAGUGGAAUACCAAAUGCGAAGGCAAUCAGCUGGGGCGAUCCUGACGCUGAGGGACGAAAGUGUGGGAA